rnacentral:rRNA from 1 species
GCCCGGUCCCAUUCCGAACCCGGAAGCUAAGGCCACCUGCGCCGAUGGUACUGCACUCGACAGGGUGUGGGAGAGUAGGACACCGCCGGAA